rnacentral:rRNA from 1 species
AUGCUGUCGUCGAUGUUCGGGGCGCGGCCGGCGGGGGAGCCGGACCCGCCGGAGCCCGAGCCGGAGCCAUCGGGGCGGCAGCACUCGGACGGGGACCUGCUGGACGAGCUGGUCGCCACCGUGGGCGCCGCGCAGGCGUUCCAGGAGUUCCGGCGGUCGCAGCGCAAGGAGUGCUUCAACCUCCUCCGCUGGCUCCAGCUCGUGCUCCCGCUCAUCGAGGAGCUCCAAGAUGCGUCCCCGCCCCGCCCGCUCACCGACGACGCCCACCGCCGCCUCGCGCUCCUCAGCCGCGCCUUCCAGGCCGCCCGCCGCCUCCUCCGCUGCUGCCACGACGGCAGCAAGAUCUUCCUCUCGCUGGAGGCCGAGGCGGUGCAGGGGAGGUUCCGGGCCGUGUACGAGAAGAUCAACCAAGCCUUGGACGGCAUGCCCUACUCGGAGAUCGGCAUCUCCGACGAGGUCAAGGAGCAAGUGGAGCUCAUCAACACGCAGCUGAAGCGGAGCAAGAAGAGGACGGACACCCAGGACAUGGAGCUCGCCAUGGACUUCAUGGUGGUCCUACAGGACAAGGAGGACCGGAGCGCGGACAGGGUCAUCCUGGAGCGGCUGGCCAAGAAGCUCGAGCUACAAAGCCUGGCUGACCUCCGCGCCGAGACCAUGGCCAUCAAGAAGCUAAUCAACGAGCGCAACGGGCAGCAACCUGAGAGCACAAAGCAGAUCAUCGAGAUUCUUAACAAGCUCAAGGAAGUUGCUGGCAUAGACGAGAAAAACAUCCUCGGCGAGGUCCAUAUUCCCAAGUACCUUGAGAAGUGCCCCUCUCUCAUGAUCCCCAACGACUUCCUCUGCCCCAUCUCCCUCGAGAUCAUGACCGACCCCGUCAUCAUCGCCAGCGGCCGGACUUACGAGAGGAGAAGCAUCCAGAAGUGGUUGGACGCGGGGCAGCGAACGUGUCCCAAGACGCAGCAGCCGUUGGCGCAUCUGUCGCUGGCGCCGAAUUUUGCUCUCAAGAACUUGAUCCUGCAGUGGUGUGAGAAGAACAAGGUAGAGAUGCAGACAAGAGCUGACGAACCUCCUGUUGAGGAAGUGAGUAAGGAGGUGCUCAUCCCGUCAUUGGUGAAGGACCUCUCAUCCCCAAACCUCGACGUACAGCGCAAGGCCGCCAAGAAGAUCCGGACGCUUUCCAAGGAGAGCCCAGAGGACCGCACACUUAUCGUUGACAGUGAUGGCAUCGCGGCCCUUGUCGGUCUCCUGCUGUACCCGGAUAAGAAGAUCCAGGACAACGCGGUCACGUCGUUGCUCAACCUCUCGAUCGACGAGGCCAACAAGGUCUUGAUUGCCAAGGGGAACGCCAUCCCAUUGAUCAUCGAAGUCCUCAAGAACGGCAAUGUCGAGGGCCAGGAGAACUCGGCCGCAACGCUGUUUAGCCUGUCCAUGGUAGACGAGAACAAGGUGGCCAUAGGGGCCUCGGGAGGUAUGGCUCCAUUGGUUGACCUCCUGAAGGAUGGGACGAUUAGGGGGAAGAAAGAUGCUAGCACGGCCAUCUUCAAUCUAUUGCUGAAUCACCAGAACAAGUUAAGGGCUAUCGAGGCCGGCAUCGUUCCAGUGCUGCUCAAAAUUCUUGACAACACGAAGCUUGGCAUGGUUGAUGAGGCCCUCUCCAUCUUCCUCCUGCUUGGGUCCAACUCUGCAUGCCGUGGAACGAUCGGGACAGAGAGCUUCGUCGAGACGCUUGUGCGGAUCAUCAAGGAGGGGACCCCAAAGAACAAGGAGUGUGCGCUUUCUGUUAUCCUCGAGCUUGGAUCACACAAUAAUGCCCUUAUGGUGCAUGCCCUUGGGUUCGGCCUCCAGGAGCAUCUCACGGAAAUUGCCAAGAACGGCACGAGCAGAGCACAGAGGAAGGCAAACUCUUUGAUUCAGCUUGCCCAGAAGUGCCAAUCCUAG